GCUGCCAGUGCCGAGAAAGAUCUGCCUGAAAAUGUUUCACUGCGAGGGAAGUAGCAACAUCGUAGCUACAGUAAAAACAGCACUCGAGAUAGCCUGCUGCAUUCAUUUUAUCCACUGCUCCCUUUUUUACCUAUGAGGGGAAUUAGCUCAAAUGGUAGAGCGCUCGCUUAGCAUGCGAGAAGUAGCGGGAUCGAUGCCCGCAUUCUCCAAACAUUUUCCCGUCCCAGCGUGUGGUUAAAUUUAUGUAAACGAGAGGAAUGACAUGCAUGACCUGGCUCUCCUCUGCUGAGACCGAUCCGGGCCCAGCAGCGCAGGCCCAGCUCUAACAGUGGUCCUCCCUACAGGUUGGCCUGUUCCCCUCCCCUUUGGCACCAGCUCCUGACACGACAAAAGAGGAUUGCUCUGAAGCGUUCCUGCUGGAUACAGAUCUGCCAAGCACACCUCUGCCACUGCCCUUGAAAGAUUCUCCACUGGGCUCAUCAAGAAAUUAGGUUGCCUUUUCAUCUUAGACCACGGCCCAUGGACAGAGCCCAUUAGAACUGCCAGUGAUGUCCUACUGGUCAAGCACCACGGGGAGGAAGUGACCCUGAAGUGGGAGGAUCUGCUUUGCUGCAGAGAGUUUGUUUGUUACUGCAGAGAGUACCGUAAAGCCACAUCCCCUUCCACCUGCACUUACACAGCAGAAAACCUCACCAAUUCAAGGAUACCAUUUGAGGAUUUUUCUGCGGCCGCCUUCUUUCAAUGGGAGCUGGAGGCCUCGAUGCAGAGGAAGGAGAGAGGAAUGGGCGAACUGAGAAAAUCCUUAGAGCAGAAUCCGUCCGGCCGUCUGUACAGGUUCUACCACCAGCCGCUGAAACAAGGCCCCAACAGCCCUCACACACAUACCGGCUUUCCUUGAGUUGGAGGAAAAUAUCUACUGCCUAGCCAAAGUGUUUUCCCUGUACCUUGCCUUUUAUGAGAUUGAAAGAUAGAGAUGGAUGGUGAAGAGGGGGGGUGACUCUACAGACACA